UCUGUUGCACGUUUGCUGAGCCAGGAUGAGAACGCGCGGAUAUGUCAAGCCAGGUGUAUAUUGUUUGGAUAAAUGCACGUUCACUGCAUUCUUAAAAGAUCACAAAAUCGAUCACAGAAUCAAUGAUGCAAAAAUGGACAAAACCCGUGCGGCAUACUUUUCGCCCUAAUGAGCAACAGCUUCUUAUGGAAACGUAUGAAGAAGUGAAACAUAUUAUAUGUAAAAAAGGCAAUACAGCUACUGUAAUAAAGCAAAGAGAGAAUGCCUGGCAAACAAUAGCGGACCGAUUGAAUGCAACAAACAUGUCUGGCCAAAAAAGGACUUGGCAGCAAGUCAAGAUUAAAUACAAGAAUAUUUUGCAGGCUGGUAAGUGACUUGUUUGCGGAGAACAUAGGUGACAUGUUUUAAGACAUUUUACUGUCUGUGCUGAUUUUAGCAAUAAAAAAAAGUCAUAUAUCUGGUACGGGGGUGGCUCUCCAACCCAAGACUUCACCACAGCAGAGGAGCUGGCCCUGGACUUAAAUAAAGGGAAGCCAGUGAUUGAAGGGAUCCAGGGAGGGACAGCCACUGCCUCUGGCCCAGCAAGGGAUACUGGCCUCCUCAUACAAGUGGCUGGUAACACCCUUACACUUUUGGAGCCACCAGACUAUAAUUCAUCGAGGGAAGCCACAUCUACAGCAGUGGAGUGCACUUCUGCUGAUGAUGAGACCGUGUCGCUGGACUCCAGAAGGCUCGAGGAUCCUGACAUUGGGCAGCCUGGCAACAUAGUGAGUAUUGCCUACAGUAAAUUUACAUUAUGCAAAAAUUCUGCAAUGCUAACUAAAAGGUGUUCACAGAAUUCACAAACUGUCAGAUAUCUCUACACAACGCAUCUUAAGAGACAUAUCAAGCUGACAGAAGUCAAGAUUGAUGUGAACAAAAGAAAGCUGCAGGACAU